AGGUUGAAAUGUGACUGUAUGAAGCUGUAAACAAGAAGCAACGUGUUGGAAUUGGACUUUGGCUGUAAAUGAAGUUGUGUGUUGGGAAAUUCUCCAAGAAACUGGCUUCUGAAAAGAACUCAGAGGGCUAAGCAGAUUCAGAAACUUGAAGGGAGAGUAAUGGAAAAUGUUUAUUGGAAAAAAUAAUCAUCAAGUGGUGAACAGAUGGAGAGAAAGAUGAUGCAAGAAUGACAGAAUGUUGAUCAUUGUUGAAGCUGGGUGAGAAGUGUAGAGUCGUUCAUUAUUCAUUAUUCUGUUCUUUGUGUUUGUUUCGAAGUGUUUACAAUAAGUGUUUUAAGAAUUGGCUCACAAAAAUACUGGACAACUGCUCACAUGCUUUAUUAUAAAAACGUCAUAAAAACCCUGAAAAGCUUUAAGUUUAAGAACCUAGCUGGGCGAGUUGGUGAAUGCCUGUAGCUCCAGCUAUUCAGGAGGCUGAGACAGGAGGAUUACAAGUUUAAGACCAGUCUGGACAAUAUAGCAAGCCCUUGUCAGAAAGACAAAUGAAAUGGAGGGAAAGAAGAAAGGAGAGCGAGAGAGAAAGAAAAGGGACGGAGGGAAAAGAAUAGAGAGAGAAAGAACAAGGAAGGAGGAAGGGAAGGAAGGAAGAAGGCAGGAAGGCUGGCAUCUGUAAAACCCUUCUUGACAUAUUACUCGUUUAUUUAAUACUACACAUGAAAACGCACAGCAACAUGAACUCUGUUAUAUGUUUGUCAUUUUUAAAAAAUAAAAUAGAGAGUACAUACAUGAGACAAAGAGACAGAAAACACCCUCCACAGGUCUUGUCACACUGUAAUCCCAUGUCCCCGGUCCUCCAACUCAUCAAGAUUGUGGGCGCUCACGCACAUGCCCAGUGUUUUCAGGCCAACCCCGAGUUCUAAACCGAAUAGCUUCCAGCCUUGCAGGACACUUGCAUUACUGCUGCACCACAGUGGCCAGGCCUGACAUAGGAUUAGUUGUACUGACUACAUGUUAACUGUAGUCACAUAGUUAUCUUUCUCUAAGCAGACAUGUGGAGACCUAGAUUUUAAAAGACCCAUGUAAGGCUCCCUUUCUAAGUAAUGGCAUGUUUACGAUAAAUUUAAAUAGAUGCUCAGAAAUGACAUGAAAAAUUUAAUGCUAAUUUCUAGACAUAAAUAAAUAAGGUC